UAAUUUGGGUGUUCAUUUUUGUUGAUUUUGGAUUCUGCAUUUCUCGAUGGUGGUGUUGAUUUUUGUUGAUUUCUGGUGUUGAUUUGGGUGGCAGUGCGGUUGAUUAGGUUGAUGGUUGUGUCGUGGUGGUACGGUGGUUGAUUUUGAGCAGAAAUUCCGGUGGGGCGAUGGUUGAUUUCGGUGGUCAACUGGCUGAUUUUGAGCAGAAUUUUCGGCCAGACUGGCCUGAAUUAGGGCCAACUGUUGGGUGGGGUUUGUAGACGACAUUGCGGGCUUCAAGUUGGUAUUAUGAUCCGG
rnacentral:lncRNA from 1 species